GGGGAGGUGGCUGAGUGGCCGAAAGCACCCGCCUGCUAAGCGGGUAGGGGGUGUAAAGCUCCCUCGAGGGUU
rnacentral:tRNA from 1 species